rnacentral:rRNA from 1 species
GACGAACGCUGGCGGCGUGCUUAACACAUGCAAGUCGAACGGAAAGGCCCUGCUUUUGUGGGGUGCUCGAGUGGCGAACGGGUGAGUAACACGUGAGUAACCUGCCCUUGAUUUUGGGAUAACUUCAGGAAACUGGGGCUAAUACCGGAUAGGAGCUCCUGCUGCAUGGUGGGGGUUGGAAAGUUUCGGCGGUUGGGGAUGGACUCGCGGCUUAUCAGCUUGUUGGUGGGGUAGUGGCUUACCAAGGCUUUGACGGGUAGCCGGCCUGAGAGGGUGACCGGCCACAAUGGGACUGAGAGACGGAGCAGACUCCUACGGGAGGCAGCAGGGGGGAAUAUUGCACAAUGGGCGGAAGCCUGAUGCAGCAACGCCGCGUGCGGGAUGACGGCCUUCGGGUUGUAAACCGCUUUCGCCUGUGACGAAGCGUGAGUGACGGUAAUGGGUAAAGAAGCACCGGCUAACUACGUG